GCUACUAUUUUGUUCUUAUUUUUUUCAUAGGUGAAAUGUGAAGCCAAGCGUGAAGUCGUGAAGCCUAUAUGCAAAGAGUAGCAUAUCAUGUAUUGUCAUAGUAGGCUGUAGUAGGCAUAUUUGAGUUGUAGUAGUGUAAAGAUUGUAAUAGACAAAUUUAGUGUUGUUUUGGACGAAUUUCAUUUGUUCUGUGAUCUGUUCAAAAUAUUGAUUUCGUAUGUGAUUUGUAUACCUAUGAAAUG
rnacentral:lncRNA from 1 species